rnacentral:rRNA from 1 species
CCUUGACCUCAAAUCGGGUGAGACUACCCGCUGAACUUAAGCAUAUCAAUAAGCGGAGGAAAAGAAACUAACAAGGAUUCCCCUAGUAACUGCGAGUGAAGCGGGAAAAGCUCAAAUUUAAAAUCUGGUGGUCUUUGGUCAUCCGAGUUGUAAUUUAGAGAAGCGUCUUCCGCGCUGGACCGUGCACAAGUCUCCUGGAAUGGAGCGUCAUAGAGGGUGAGAAUCC